GAUGAACGCUAGCGGCAGGCCUAAUACAUGCAAGUCGUACGGCAACACAGUUGCGAGCAAUCGCAACCGGUGGCGAGUGGCGCACGGGUGAGUAACGCGUAUGUAACCCUACCCUUCUCCGGGACAUAACUCCGCGAAAGCGGUGCUAAUAUCCCAUACCAACUCAUCAAGACAUCUUCUUGAGUUGAAAGCAGCAAUGCGGUGAAGGAUGGGCAUGCGUCCCAUUAGCUGGUUGGUGAGGUAAUGGCCCACCAAGGCUACGAUGGGUAGGGGUUCUGAGAGGAAAGCCCCCCACACUGGUACUGAGACACGGACCAGACUCCUACGGGAGGCAGCAGUAAGGAAUAUUGGGCAAUGGUCGAAAGACUGACCCAGCCAUGCCGCGUGCAGGAUGAAGGCCCUAUGGGUUGUAAACUGCUUUUAGCCGGGAAUAAACACCCGUUUUAUAACGGGCCCGAAGGUACCGGCUGAAUAAGCAUCGGCUAACUCCGUG
rnacentral:rRNA from 1 species